CUGGAUAAUGGCUGAACGCCUCUAAGUCAGAAUCCAUGCUGAAAACGAUACUACUGUGUUUUGAUUGUACCAGAUGAGUACUAAUAAAGCUUCGGCUUGAAAACCUUACUUGUGGGCUAGGCUUGGUAGCGGAAAUGCUGCUAGGUCUACCUGCUAAUGAUAAUGCUAAUACAUCAAAAUGAUAAAUCGCAUGCAGACGACAUGAA
rnacentral:rRNA from 13 species